rnacentral:rRNA from 1 species
GACGAACGCUGGCGGCGUGCCUAAUACAUGCAAGUCGAGCGAAUCUCAGGGAGCUUGCUCCCUGAGAUUAGCGGCGGACGGGUGAGUAACACGUGGGUAACCUGCCUGUAAGACUGGGAUAACUUCGGGAAACCGGAGCUAAUACCGGAUACUUUCUUUUCUCGCAUGAGGGAAGAUGGAAAGAUGGUUCUGCUAUCACUUACAGAUGGACCCGCGGCGCAUUAGCUAGUUGGGGAGGUAACGGCUCACCAAGGCAACGAUGCGUAGCCGACCUGGGAGGGUGAUCGGCCACACUGGGACUGAGACACGGCCCAGACUCCUACGGGAGGCAGCAGUAGGGAAUCUUCCGCAAUGGACGAAAGUCUGACGGAGCAACGCCGCGUGAGCGAAGAAGGUUUUCGGAUCGUAAAGCUCUGUUGUGAGGGAAGAACAGCAUCCGGAGGAAAUGCCGGAGGUUUGCCGGUACCUCACCAGAAAGCCCCGGCUAACUACGUGCCAGCCGCCGCCGUAAGAC